CCUACGGGAGGCAGCAGUCGAGAAUCAUUCACAAUGGGGGAAACCCUGAUGGUGCGACGCCGCGUGGGGGAAUGAAGGUCUUCGGAUUGUAAACCCCUGUCAUGUGGGAGCAAAUUAAAAAGAUAGUACCACAAGAGGAAGAGACGGCUAACUCUGUGCCAGCAGCCGCGGUAAUACAGAGGUCUCAAGCGUUGUUCGGAAUCACUGGGCGUAAGGCGGGCGUAGGCUGUUUCGUAAGUCGUGUGUGAAAGGCGCGGGCUCAACCCGCGGACGGCACAUGAUACUGCGAGACUAGAGUAAUGGAGGGGGAACCGGAAUGCUCGGUGUAGCAGUGAAAUGCGUAGAUAUCGAGAGGAACACUCGUGGCGAAGGCGGGUUCCUGGACAUUAACUGACGCUGAGGCACGAAGGCCAGGGGAGCGAAAGGGAUUAGAUACCCGUGUAGUC
rnacentral:rRNA from 1 species